AGAGUUUGAUCAUGGCUCAGGAUAAACGCUGGCGGCGUGCCUAACACAUGCAAGUCGAACGAUCCCGCAAGGGAGGGUGGCGGAAGGGUGAGUAACACGUGGGAAUCUACCUCCUCGCAGGGAACAACCUCUCGAAAGAGAGGCUAAUACCCAAAAGGGUCAGAAAUGAUCAGAGUCGAAAGGCGUGAGGAGAGGAGCCCGCGGCCCAUCAGCUAGUUGGUGAGGUAAUGGCUUACCAAGGCUACGACGGGUAGGGGAUCUGAGAGGAUGUCCCCCACACUGGAACUGAAACACGGUCCAGACGCCUACGGGUGGCAGCAGUGAGGAAUAUUGGACAAUGGGCGAAAGCCCGAUCCAGCAACGCCGCGUGGAGGAUGAAGGCCUUCGGGUCGUAAACUUCUUUAGAGGGAGACGAGAAAGGACGGUAUCCCUAGAAUAAGCGACGGCAAACUACGUG
rnacentral:rRNA from 1 species